rnacentral:rRNA from 1 species
ACAGCGUAAACUUAACAUGAAGUGAAGCAUGUAAACCUGCUGAAUUUAAGCAUAUAAGUAGGCGGUGGAAAAUGAACCAAAUGGGAUUCCUUAAGUAAUUGCGAAUGAACAAGGAAAUGCUCAGCUUGAAAAAUGGGGCCUUUGGCUUUGAAUUGUAAUUUUGAAAUGUAUUGCCAAUGGAGGCGCAGGUGCAAGCCUAUUGAAAGAAAGCGUCAAUGAGGGUGAGAUUCCUUUUUGUCAUUUGCAGUCCUCCGUGCGCGGUAUAUAUUUGACGAGUCACACUCCUCGGCAUUGGAAUGCAAAGUGGGUGGUAAAUUCCAUGUAAAGGUAAAUAUAUUAUUGAGACUGAUAGCAAACAAGUACCAUGAGGGAAAUAUGAAAAGGACUUUGAAAAGAGAAUUAAAAGAGUCUGCAUUUGCUGAGCAGAAAGCAAACAGAAUUGAUUUUACUUGGUGAGAUUGUUGUGCUUACUCUAUCAUUUAUAUGGUUGAUGUGGGUGCGAUGGUUCUUACCUUGAAUGUCAGCUUCUAUUUCUGCAAAUCAUUACCCUUGCACAUGAAUGGUAAUUUGCCUGCGGGUAUUGGAAUGCAUGUGUUUGCAAUGAUUUGUGAUUUGACGCAUGUGUUUGGUGAAAUUUGUAUAUGCUCUUUUGUCGAAGGGGAAAGCUUACUUUUUUGAGCAUUGCAAGCCCUUACACAUCAGUGCUGGCAAAAUGUUUCUGCUUGACCCGUCUUGAAACACGGACCAAGGAGUCUAACAGAUGUGCAAGUUCGUGGGUGGCAAACCUUUUUGCGCAAUGAAAGUAUUGGCUGGGAUACUUGCACCAGCAGCCGACCAAUUAGCAGACAGAGGUUUGAGUUUGAGCAUAUCUAUUAGGACCCGAAAGAUGGUGAACUAUGCCUGAACAGAAUGAAUCAGAGGAAACUCUGAUGACGUA